UACGGGCAGUUCUAGUGGUAUCCACGUAUAUUGGGCUUAAAGCGUCCGUAGCUGGUCCAGAAAGUUUCUAGUGAAAGCUCGCAGCUUAACUGAUGAGAGGUGCUAGAAAAACUUUUGGACUUGGAGGCGGGAGAGGUAAGAGGUACUUUUGGGGUAGCGGUUAAAUGUGUUAAUCCUGAAGGGACCACCGGUAGCGAAGGCGUCUUACUAGAACGCGCUCGACAGUGAGGGACGAAGGCCAGGGGAGCAACCCGGAUUAGAUACCCGGUUAGUCCUGGCAGUAAAUGAUGCAGACUAGGUGUCCUGUAACCUACGUGGUUAUGGGGUGCCGAAGGGAACCGUUAAGUCUGCCGCCUGGGGAGUACGGUCGCAAGACUGAAACUUAAGGAAUUGGCGGAGAGCACCACAAGGGUGAGGCUGCGGUUU
rnacentral:rRNA from 1 species